rnacentral:tRNA from 1 species
GCCGGCUUAGCUCAGUUGUAGAGCAUCUGAUUUGUAUCAAGGUCGCGUGUUCAAGUCAUGUAGCCGGCA